rnacentral:tRNA from 6 species
AAAAUCCGCUGGUCCUUGCAAGACCGUGAGGGUUCGAGUCCCUCUAUCCCCA